UACGGGGGGGGCAAGCGUUGUUCGGAAUUACUGGGCGUAAAGGGCUUGUAGGUGGCCAACUAAGUCCGACGUGAAAUCCCUAGGCUUAACCUAGGAACUGCGUCGGAUACUGGAUGGCUUGAAUCCGGGAGAGGGAUGCGGAAUUCCAGGUGUAGCGGUGAAGUGCGUAGAUAUCUGGAGGAACACCGGUGGCGAAGGCGGCAUCCUGGACCGGUAUUGACACUGAAAAGCGAAAGCCAGGGGAGCAAACGGG
rnacentral:rRNA from 1 species